CAGUAGCCACGGUAAUACAGAGGCCUCAAGCGUUGUUCGGAUUCAUUGGGCGUAAAGGGAGCGUAGGCGGUCGGGUAAGUCGGAUGUGAAAUCUUGGGGCUCAACCUCAAAACUGCAUUCGAUACUGCUUGGCUAGAGGAAUGGAGGGGAGAUUGGAAUUCACGGUGUAGCAGUGAAAUGCGUAGAUAUCGUGAGGAAGACCAGUGGCGAAGGCGGAUCUCUGGACAUUUCCUGACGCUGAUGCUCGAAGGCCAGGGGAGCAAACGGGAUUAGAUACCCCCGUAGUCCCUGUCUCUUAUAC
rnacentral:rRNA from 1 species